AACUUUCAUAAAACUGUGUGUGUAUGCAUAAUAAAAGCAAACUGGUUAUGGAUUUUUUUAUCUCGUUGGUAGAUACAGCAUGUCAAUACUUAUAUUAUAAAUGUAUUUUACUAACAUGACCAAAGAUAAUUUAAGAAAAUAUAUAAAAUAAAUUGAAUAUUGAGGUAUCUGUAUCUGAGUUGUCAUCUACAAGAAUUUUAACAUUAUUAGAGUAUACAUUUAUUAUGAUUUGCAUGUUCAAAACAAUGAAAAUUUUGUUGACCAAAUUACCAGAUUGUACGAGGAAUUGAAUGUCAUAGAGCUGGAUGACUGAUAGUGCUUGUUUUGUUUUUGUUUUGUUUCACUUUAUGUUUUUUUAGGUUUUAUUUUCUGUGUUAUGAUUAUGUUGUAGUUCUUUAGGCGAGGAACAAAAAAAAAACACACAGUUCCACUGAUGUGAUAAAUAAAGACCAUUUAGAACAAGUAAAACAAUGUCAUUUAAUUUUGAUGUGUUUUGUAAUCUUACUCCCCUUAUUUCAUGCUGCCCACAGGUGUGACAUUUUUCACCUGUGAACUAUAACUUUUCAACACUCAAAGCAUGUAAUGUUUGUUAUGUUGAAGGUCAAGGCCACUGUCUUAAAUAGGUCAUGUGUAGUAAUUGUGUACUUAGGUCAAAAGAUGAACUUUAAUUUAAUAGAUGUGUAAGCAAGAGUGACGGGGAAUGGUAGAAAAGGGUACUGAAAAUGGAAGAUCUCUCAAAAGGAUUAUCUAAAGAACAUCUUUUAAGUUACAUGUUGUGUGUUCAUAAUUGUUAAUUUAAUAUUAUCUAUCGUUUUAUUAAUGAUGAUAUUAACAAAUAUACUACCUGGUAGUAGGUAUAUAUUAUUUAAUUUCAUUAUCCCCAAGCUUCACUUGGUAUACAUGUAAUUGCUUGUGUUUUUGGUGUUUCAUGACAGUGCUGAACAAAUGUUGAAUCACGUGUUUAUGUGUUGGCGUGUACUGUUCAUGUCUUUACACCUGUUUGCGUCGAUUUUCAUUUUGAUUUCUGUAAAUUUAUUGUUAAUAUGACUCUGUUAAAGAGAUCAACAGAAUCAGUAAUAAUGGACUGAAACACUUAGUAGAACCAGCUGUCAGUUUCUGCAGAUUGCUUAGUUUUGUAAUAAAAUUAUUUAUUGUU
rnacentral:sRNA from 1 species